rnacentral:rRNA from 1 species
UACGGAGGGUGCAAGCGUUAUCCGGAUUCACUGGGUUUAAAGGGUGCGUAGGUGGGUUGGUAAGUCAGUGGUGAAAUCUCCGAGCUUAACUUGGAAACUGCCAUUGAUACUAUUAGUCUUGAAUAUUGUGGAGGUCAGCGGAAUAUGUCAUGUAGCGGUGAAAUGCUUAGAGAUGACAUAGAACACCAAUUGCGAAGGCAGCUGGCUACACAUAUAUUGACACUGAGGCACGAAAGCGUGGGGGAUCAAACAG